rnacentral:rRNA from 1 species
UACGUAGGGGGCGAGCGUUGUCCGGAAUUAUUGGGCGUAAAGCGCACACAGGCGGUCCUUCAAGUUCGAGGUGACAAUCACCGACUUAACUAGUGAACGACUUCGAAAACUGGGGGGACUUGAGAGCGAGAGAGGGACCUGGAACUCCAGGUGGAGCAGUGAAAUGCGUAGAGAUCCGGAAGAACACCAAUGGCGAAGGCAGAGUCCUGGCUCGUUUCUGACGCUCAGGUGCGAAAGCCAGGGGAGCGAACGGG